rnacentral:lncRNA from 12 species
UUACCAUGCUGGGGGGGGGGGGGGGGGCGGAGUCUGGAAGGGAAGGGAGAGAUCUUAUCACUUCAGAGUAGAUAGCACAGCUUCUCAGGUGAAGCAAGAGGCCAAGAGGGAAAGUUACCCACAUGUAUUAGGGCAAGGAAAGGGCCACAACCCUUUAUCUCUUGAGCUCCCAGGACAAUUAAUAUUCCCAUUUGCGCCUCUUCUUUCUCUUAGCAGUCAUGUGGCCUUGGUCACGUGUCGUUUUCCUCACCUCUAAAGGAAGUAUCAUCACCUCAUCUACUUACUUCCAAUUAUUGCUGUGAGGAUGAAGGUUCAUGAAGAUGCUGUGCAAGCAGUGGGGAGCAGGGGGUAAGAAGGAGCAGAGCUGUGUCCCAACCCCAUGGUCUCUAGUAACUUCAAAGUCGACUCAGACCCACAGACUCCAUGUGGUGGGGCUCUCGCCUACACUUCCAGUGUUUCGAACAACACCUCAGGCUGUCUCGUGUUCUUCAUAAUUAUUGUGAGAGCCGCAGAAUAUUUUAUCGGUUAAUGUACUGUGAUUUAUGUCGCUGCUUUUACCGCCCCUGUUGUUGGACCUUCCGGAUGUUGUCAAUUUCUGCUGUUAACCUAGAGGCUGCUACAGUGAAGAGCAGCACCCUCCUUGUGAAUUACCUCCUCCUGUAAGUUACAAGGGAUGAAAGUGCUGUGUCUGGGCAUGAACCUUUUUAUGGUUUUCAGUACAUACUACCAUAUUCCUGUUUUGUACCCCCUGUCAAAAGUUUCAUCAGUUUCAGAGUAAACAAUGGUGCUAGUGUUAUAUCACAUCUUCCCUGCCGAGUUAAAGAUAUAAAAACAUACUUUGUUGUUUAAUUUGAAAUAUGUUACAGGUUGAACCCUUUCCCCUCUGUGCUUACUAUGUGUACUUUGUACUGUUUAUGUUAUUUGCCAUUAAGGGGGUUUGAUGAUAUUUACAUACAUUAGAAUUAAAAUUUUUACAUGUUACAACUAAUAAUCCACUUCUUUAGCAUUUGAGGAAAUACUUUUCAUGCUGUUAUUUUUUUCACUAUGAUUAGUUCGUUCUUAUAUAGAAGUUAUCUCUUGAUACUUUUCUUUUGAAUUCUUUCAAAGAUUCAAAGUUUAAAUACCACCGGGAUGUCUGAGUGGCUCCAUUCGUUAAGCAUCAGAAUCUUGGUUUCAGCUCAGGUCAUAAUCUCAGCAUCAUGAGAUGGAGCCCUGAAUUAGGCUCCGUGCUGAGCAUGGAGUCCUCUUGAGAAUUUCUUCUCCCUCUCCUUCUGCCCCUCCACCCUCUCCUGGCUCACAAGCAUGUGCUCUUUCUCUCUUGCUCUAAAAAGUAUAUAUAUAUAAUAUAUUUAAUAUAUAAUAUAUUAAUAAUUAUUACAUUUUUAAUACUUAUCAUUAUUAAUUAUUGAAUAAUAAUUUGUAUUAUUUACCACCAUCAAAAACAAGUAUAUAAAAACUCUGAAUUCUAGUUUGUGCACUUUAUGACCAUCAAAUUAUUUAAUUAACUUGUAAUUUUUAUUUUUAAAGAUUUUUUUUUUAAGAUUUAACUUGUAAUUGUUAAAUAUAACUUUUGUAUAUAACUUAAUGUUUACCCAAACUAAUAAUCCAAUGGCAGUUUACAGUCUAUAUGUGACAGACUUAAGGAAUAAUCUUGCUAAAAUGAGAAGGCAGGCACUUUGUCUUAAAGCUGUGUUUUUUUUUUUUAAUUUUUAUUUAUUUAUUUAUGAUAGUCACACAGAAAGAGAGAGAGAGAGAGGCAGAGACAUAGGCAGAGGGAGAAGCAGGCUCCAUGCACCGGGAGCCUGACGUGGGAUUCGAUCCCGGGUCUCCAGGAUCACGCCCUGGGCCAAAGGCAGGCGCCAAACCGCUGCACCACCCAGGGAUCCCAAAGCUGUGUUUUUAUAGCAAGCACAUUGUUUUUACUAACAUUGCUUGUUCUUAGGUAGCUUUAUGAUGGUGGUGAGCAUGAUAGAGAUCAUGAUUACAGAAAGGCUUGAGCUCUACAGGCUAAGAAUGCAUUUUCUUGUGCCUUGUGAUUUUCAUGUGCCUUAGGCAUUUUUGCUUUUGUUGGGUUCUCCAUCCAUAAAAAACAUAAAAUUAUAUUUUAUAACUGUCUGUUAUAAGGGUAAAUACAACCCAAGCUCAAUUCAUUACUAUAUAUUCAUUAUUAUUUUUUAUUCAUAUUCAUAGUUUGUUCAUUUAUCUAAAAUUAAAACAUUUUUGUGGGCUACUAAGCUAUGCCUAUUGUCUAAUAGAUAUCAUCCCUAUUCCACAGUCACCUCUUAGCACAAAUUAACUUUCUCUGUCUGAGUCGUUGGGUCUACUUUGUGGCUUUGCAUUCAGUUCCUCAAAUACACAUUUUUUUUUCAUUUUUUUAACCCUUUAUUUUUUAUCAUUUUUUUAAAUAAUAAAUUUAUUUUUUAUUGGUGUUCA